rnacentral:sRNA from 1 species
UGAGGGCAAUCUGGCUGUGACUUCUGUCGCCCCAUUCAUUGCAAGGGUUGAUUCAGUUGAUCUGGCUAGCUAGGUGGGUGUCCCCUUUUUCACUUCA